rnacentral:rRNA from 1 species
AACUUUCAACAACGGAUUUUUUGGUUCUCGCAUCGAUGAAGAGCGCAGCGAAAUGCGAUACCUAGUGUGAAUUGCAGCCAUCGUGAAUCAUCGAGUUCUUGAACGCCCCUUGCGCCCCUCGGCAUUCCGGGGGGCAUGCCUGUUUGAGCGU